GCCAUUGACUAGCUCAACUAGCACAAACCCGUGCCAGAACUAUGUGUGUACUAGGAUUGGAUGGUGUUUCUACCCCCAACAAGAACUAAGUGACACUGGAAAGAGAACAGAAAUAAUCUUUGGAAUAUAGGCAUUGCUAGUUCAAGAACCAACAGUCAAAGAAUACUGGCACUUUAAGAGGAAUGAAGUUUCCACUGUCAUUUAAAACAAGCAUUCAGGUAAAGCUAAAAGGAUCAUGAAGCAGAAAGUAAAGUAAUGCUAAACCAAAUGCUAAUAAUUUAGUGUAAUGUACAAAAAUUACUUAAGUACUUCUUAAGAAUAAGGAUAAACUGUAUUUACAUAAUUA